rnacentral:lncRNA from 1 species
UAGGGGUUGGGUAAGCCCCUCCCUUGCAACAGCAGCUUGGAUUCACUGGUUGCAGCUGAUGACCUCUGGGAUUCCUUGUUGGGAAUUGCCACUGGAGCAAGUGGUCUCUCUGGAAGAUUAUCCCUGAGCUAACAUCUGCUGCCAAUCCUCCUCUUUUUGCUGAGGAAGACUGGCCGUGAGCUAACAUCUGUGCCCAUCUUCAUCUACUUUAUAUGUGGGACACCUACCACAGCAUGGCUUGCCGUCAGUGCCAUGUGUGCAUCCGAGAUCCAAACUGGUGAACCCUACGCUGCUGAAGUGGAACAUGCACACUUAACCGCUGCACCACAGUACUGGCCUCUGGAGUAUCUUUUUCCAUCCCUUCACUUUCAGUUUGUGACUGUCUUUAGGUCUGAAUUAUGUCUCUUGUAAGUGGGAUGUCUAUGGGUCUUGUAUUUUAUCUAAUCAGCCACCCUAUGUCUUUUGAUUGGAGCAUUUACACUCCAUUGACAUUUAAAGUAGCUACUGAUAAGUAUUUUGUUACUUUUUUUCUGGAUGUUUUAGUAGUUCUCUGUUCCUUUCUUCUUUUCUUGCU